rnacentral:rRNA from 1 species
UACGUAGGGUGCGAGCGUUGUCCGGAAUUAUUGGGCGUAAAGAGCUCGUAGGCGGUGUGUCACGUCGGCCGUGAAAACCUGCAGCUUAACUGUGGGCGUGCGGUCGAUACGGGCAAACUAGAAUUCGGUAGGGGAGACUGGAAUUCCUGGUGUAGCGGUGAAAUGCGCAGAUAUCAGGAGGAACACCGGUGGCGAAGGCGGGUCUCUGGGCCGAUAUUGACGCUGAGGAGCGAAAGCGUGGGGAGCGAACAGG